CCUACGGGAGGCAGCAGUGGGGAAUAUUGGACAAUGGGGGCAACCCUGAUCCAGCAAUGCCGCGUGUGUGAAGAAGGCCCUCGGGUUGUAAAGCACUUUCAGUGAGGAAGAACGCCUGGUGGUUAAUACCCAUCAGGAAAGACAUCACUCACAGAAGAAGCACCGGCUAACUCCGUGCCAGCAGCCGCGGUAAUACGGAGGGUGCGAGCGUUAAUCGGAAUUACUGGGCGUAAAGCGCGCGUAGGUGGCUUGAUAAGCCGGUUGUGAAAGCCCCGGGCUCAACCUGGGAACGGCAUCCGGAACUGUCAAGCUAGAGUGCAGGAGAGGAAGGUAGAAUUCCCGGUGUAGCGGUGAAAUGCGUAGAGAUCGGGAGGAAUACCAGUGGCGAAGGCGGCCUUCUGGACUGACACUGACACUGAGGUGCGAAAGCGUGGGUAGCAAACAGGAUUAGAUACCCGUGUAGUC
rnacentral:rRNA from 1 species